UGGCAUCUUGAGGGGUCUCAGGAGGGCCUGCCUGAUGCUCGGGGAAGGCAGAGGCUCUCGGUCAUGCUGGGCCCCUGCAGAGGCCCCUGCAAUUCUCC